GAUGAACGCUAGCGAUAGGCCUAACACAUGCAAGUCGAGGGGCAUCACAUGAAGUAGCAAUACGGAUGGUGGCGACCGGCGCACGGGUGAGUAACACGUAUGCAACCUGCCUUCAACAAGGGGAUAACCCGUUGAAAGACGGACUAAUACCCUAUAACACAGGGGUCCCGCAUGGGGAUAUUUGUUAAAGGACAACCGGUUGAAGAUGGGCAUGCGUUCCAUUAGCUAGUUGGCGGGGUAAGGCCCACCAAGGCAACGAUGGAUAGGGGAACUGAGAGGUUUAUCCCCCACACUGGUACUGAGACACGGACCAGACUCCCACGGGAGGCAGCAGUGAGGAAUAUUGGUCAAUGGACGCAAGUCUGAACCAGCCACGUCGCGUGAAGGAAGACGGCCCUACGGGUUGUAAACUUACUUUUGCAAGGGAAUAAAGUGGGCCACGUGUGGCCUUUUGCAAGUACCUUGCGAAUAAGGAUCGGCUAACUCCGUGCCAGCAGCCGCGGUAAUUA
rnacentral:rRNA from 1 species